GUGCCUCGAUGACUUAGUGGUCAGAGUAUCUGCCCAAUAAGCAGGAGACCUGGGUUCGAAUCCCAGUCCGGCACA